AGCGGUAUGGUGUAAUGAUGCACACAGGGAUUCAUUGCUCAUUAAUGUGAUAAUAGCGUAAUCCUGAGGUCCUUGUUCGAGUCAAGGUGCUGCUU